rnacentral:rRNA from 1 species
CAGGUGCUGCAUGGCUGUCGUCAGCUCGUGUCGUGAGAUGUUGGGUUAAGUCCCGCAACGAGCGCAACCCUUGUCAUUAGUUGCUACAUUCAGUUGGGCACUCUAAUGAGACUGCCGGUGACAAACCGAGGAAGGUGGGGAUGACGUCAAGUCCUCAUGGCCCUUAUAGGUGGGGCUACACACGUCAUACAAUGGCUGGUACAAAGGGUUGCCAACCCGCGAGGGGGAGCUAAUCCCAUAAAACCAGUCGUAGUCGGAUCGCAGUCUGCAACUCGACUGCGUGAAGUCGGAAUCGCUAGUAAUCGUGGAUCAGAAUGUCACGGUGAAUACGUUCCCGGGUCUUGUACACACCGCCCGUCACACCAUGGGAGCGGGUUCUGCAGAAGUAGUUAGCUUAACCGCAAGGAGGGCGAUUACCACGGCAGGGUUCGUGACUGGGGUGAAGUCGU